rnacentral:lncRNA from 1 species
GACAAUAAUAAUACUAAAAAUAUCAAAAUGAAACUAACAUGACAUGAUUACCUGAAAUAACAAUCAAAUUUUGACUGACUCCAUCAACAACAAUAGUACUUCAGUGCUUCAGAAAAAAAAUCAAACGUUUCUUGUUGUAAAGUCAUUAAGGACACAAUCAAGAUCAAUAAUAGUCCAAGAUAUCCUUUUGAGUGCAGCACCCAACAAUUGCUUCUUCUUAGACAACAUGGCAGGUUAAUAUCCUAAAAUUAUGAGAAAAGAGGAUACAAAAAAUUAGAAUUUAUAUAUCAGAUGAUUGAAACCCUAGACAUACAUGGAUAAAUAGUUGAAUACGUACAUACUAAAUAUAGAAUAAAAUAUACUACCGAAAUGGUCAAAUUGGGGUUUGGGGGCAUGGAUCGGGAACAUAGGUGGAUCAUCGAUACGUUCAUACGUACUGCUCCUGUUCCUGAUGGAUGAGUAGAUCAUGGAUACGUACCAGUAUUACUGCUGAUUACUGCUGCUGAAGUGACGAUGGAUGGAUAUUGGAUGGAUCUUACCGGAUGGCCGGACGCCCGAACCUCAUUGGCUUAGCUCGUACAAUCGUACUGCUGCGGAUUACUGUUGCUGAUGCGUGCUGGAUGCCGGAUGGCCGGACUGCCGUGGGGUGCCUUUUGGCGGCGGCCGAUCGAGGCGACAAGACGCCGA